GGCAGGGUGAGUCGACCCCUAAGGCGAGGCCGAAAGGCGUAGUCGAUGGGAAACAGGUUAAUAUUCCUGUACUUGGUGUUACUGCGAAGGGGGGACGGAGAAGGCUAUGUUGGCCGGGCGACGGUUGUCCCGGUUUAAGCGUGUAGGCUGGUUUUCCAGGCAAAUCCGGAAAAUCAAGGCUGAGGCGUGAUGACGAGGCACUACGGUGCUGAAGCGACAAAUGCCCUGCUUCCAGGAAAAGCCUCUAAGCAUCAGGUAACAUCAAAUCGUACCCCAAACCGACACAGGUGGUCAGGUAGAGAAUACCAAGGCGCUUGAGAGAACUCGGGUGAAGGAACUAGGCAAAAUGGUGCCGUAACUUCGGGAGAAGGCACGCUGAUAUGUAGGUGAAGCGACUUGCUCGUGGAGCUGAAAUCAGUCGAAGAUACCAGCUGGCUGCAACUGUUUAUUAAAAACACAGCACUGUGCAAACACGAAAGUGGACGUAUACGGUGUGACGCCUGCCCGGUGCCGGAAGGUUAAUUGAUGGGGUUAGCGGUAACGCGAAGCUCUUGAUCGAAGCCCCGGUAAACGGCGGCCGUAACUAUAACGGUCCUAAGGUAGCGAAAUUCCUUGUCGGGUAAGUUCCGACCUGCACGAAUGGCGUAAUGAUGGCCAGGCUGUCUCCACCCGAGACUCAGUGAAAUUGAACUCGCUGUGAAGAUGCAGUGUACCCGCGGCAAGACGGAAAGACCCCGUGAACCUUUACUAUAGCUUGACACUGAACAUUGAGCCUUGAUGUGUAGGAUAGGUGGGAGGCUUUGAAGUGUGGACGCCAGUCUGCAUGGAGCCGACCUUGAAAUACCACCCUUUAAUGUUUGAUGUUCUAACGUGGGCCCCUUACCGGGGUUGCGGACAGUGUCUGGUGGGUAGUUUGACUGGGGCGGUCUCCUCCUAAAGAGUAACGGAGGAGCACGAAGGUUGGCUAAUCCUGGUCGGACAUCAGGAGGUUAGUGCAAUGGCAUAAGCCAGCUUGACUGCGAGCGUGACGGCGCGAGCAGGUGCGAAAGCAGGUCAUAGUGAUCCGGUGGUUCUGAAUGGAAGGGCCAUCGCUCAACGGAUAAAAGGUACUCCGGGGAUAACAGGCUGAUACCGCCCAAGAGUUCAUAUCGACGGCGGUGUUUGGCACCUCGAUGUCGGCUCAUCACAUCCUGGGGCUGAAGUAGGUCCCAAGGGUAUGGCUGUUCGCCAUUUAAAGUGGUACGCGAGCUGGGUUUAGAACGUCGUGAGACAGUUCGGUCCCUAUCUGCCGUGGGCGCUGGAGAACUGAGGGGGGCUGCUCCUAGUACGAGAGGACCGGAGUGGACGCAUCACUGGUGUUCGGGUUGUCAUGCCAAUGGCACUGCCCGGUAGCUAAAUGCGGAAGAGAUAAGUGCUGAAAGCAUCUAAGCACGAAACUUGCCCCGAGAUGAGUUCUCCCUGACUCCUUGAGAGUCCUGAAGGAACGUUGAAGACGACGACGUUGAUAGGCCGGGUGUGUAAGCGCAGCGAUGCGUUGAGCUAACCGGUACUAAUGAACCGUGAGGCUUAACCUUACAACGCCGAAG
rnacentral:rRNA from 1 species